UACGGAAGGCAGCAGUGGGGAAUAUUGCACAAUGGGCGAAAGCCUGAUGCAGCUAUGCCGCGUGUAUGAAGAAGGCCUUAGGGUUGUAAAGUACUUUCAUCGGGGAGGAAAAACAAAACUAAUAAUUUUAUUUCUUGACGUUACCCGAAAAAGAAGCACCGGCUAACUCCGUGCCAGCAGCCGCGGUAAUACGGAGGGUGCUAGCGUUAAUCAGAAUUACUGGGCGUAAAGAGCACGUAGGUGGUUUUUUUAAGUCAGAUGUGAAAUCCCUGGGCUUAACCUAAGAACUGCAUUUUGAAACUGAAAUACUAGAGUAUCGUAGAGGGAGGUAGAAUUCUAGGUGUAGCGGUGAAAUGCGUAGAUAUCUGGAGGAAUACCUGUGGCGAAAGCGGCCUCCUAAACGAAUACUGACACUGAGGUGCGAAAGCGUGGGGAGCAAACAGGGAUUAGAUA
rnacentral:rRNA from 1 species